GUAGGUGGCAAGCGUUGUCCGGAAUUAUUGGGCGUAAAGCGCGCGCAGGCGGUUUUUAAGUCUGAUGUGAAAGCCCACGGGCUCAACCGUGGAGGGUCAUUGGAAACUGGAGAACUUGAGUACAGAAGAGGAAAGCGGAAUUCCACGUGUAGCGGUGAAAUGCGUAGAGAUGUGGAGGAACACCAGUGGCGAAGGCGGCUUUCUGGUCUGUAACUGACGCUGAGGCGCGAAAGCGUGGGGAGCAAACAGGAUUAGAUACCCUGGUAGUCCACGCCGUAAACGAUGAGUGCUAAGUGUUAGGGGGUUUCCGCCCCUUAGUGCUGCAGCUAACGCAUUAAGCACUCCGCCUGGAGAGUACGGCCGCAAAGGCUG
rnacentral:rRNA from 1 species